AUUGAACGCUGGCGGCAGGCUUAACACAUGCAAGUCGAGCGGAGACGAGGUGCUUGCACCUUAUCUUAGCGGCGGACGGGUGAGUAAUGCUUAGGAAUCUGCCUAUUAGUGGGGGACAACAUUCCGAAAGGAAUGCUAAUACCGCAUACGUCCUACGGGAGAAAGCAGGGGAUCUUCGGACCUUGCGCUAAUAGAUGAGCCUAAGUCGGAUUAGCUAGUUGGUGGGGUACAGGCCUACCAAGGCGACGAUCUGUAGCGGGUCUGAGAGGUUGAUCCGCCACACUGGGACUGAGACACGGCCCAGACUCCUACGGGAGGCAGCAGUGGGGAAUAUUGGACAAUGGGGGGAACCCUGAUCCAGCCAUGCCGCGUGUGUGAAGAAGGCCUUAUGGUUGUAAAGCACUUUAAGCGAGGAGGAGGCUACUGAGACUAAUACUCUUGGAUAGUGGACGUUACUCGCAGAAUAGGCACCGGCUAACUCUGUGCCAGCAGCCGCAGUAACAC
rnacentral:rRNA from 1 species